rnacentral:misc_RNA from 1 species
AGAACCCCCCUGCUAGUGGAGGAGAAAGAUCAUUUGUCCAAUUUGUGUUGGAGCCUCUCUACAAGAUAUAUAGCCAAGUGAUUGGAGAACAUAAGAAGAGUGUUGAGGCUACUCUUGCUGAGCUUGGUGUCACACUUCCCAAUGCAGCUUAUAAAUUAAAUGUUAGGCCUUUGCUAAGGCUGGCGUGUAGCAGUGUUUUUGGUUCAGCUUCAGGCUUCACUGAUAUGCUGGUUCAGCAUAUACCUUCUGCUAAGAAUGCUGCUGCUAAAAAGGUUGAUCAUAUAUAUACAGGGCCCAAAGAUUCUAUGAUUUACAAGGCCAUGUUAGAUUGUGAUCCUUCUGGCCCCUUAAUGGUUAAUGUGACUAAACUGUAUCCCAAGUCUGAUUGCAGUUCCUUUGACGCUUUUGGUAGGGUUUAUAGUGGUAAAAUUAUGACAGGACAGUCUGUAAAAGUGUUGGGAGAAGGCUACUCACCUGAUGAUGAGGAGGACAUGACUGUAAAAGAAGUGACCAAACUAUGGGUAUAUCAAGCUCGGUAUAGAUUACCCAUAAGCAUGGCACCUCCUGGCUCAUGGGUUCUUAUCGAAGGUGUGGAUGCUUCAAUAAUGAAAACUGCAACUCUUUGUAAUGUGAAUUAUAAUAGCGAAGAUGUUUACAUUUUCCGGCCUCUCCAGUUCAAUACUCUUCCAGUGGUGAAAACAGCUACUGAGCCUCUAAAUCCAAGUGAGUUGCCAAAAAUGGUGGAGGGCCUAAGGAAGAUCAGUAAAAGCUAUCCUCUCGCUAUCACUAAAGUUGAGGAGUCUGGAGAGCACACUAUUCUUGGUACUGGAGAGUUAUAUUUGGAUUCCAUUAUGAAGGACCUUAGAGAACUCUACUCUGAAGUGGAAGUCAAGGUAGCAGAUCCUGUUGUUUCAUUUUGUGAAACUGUGGUAGAGUCUUCAUCAAUGAAAUGUUUUGCUGAAACACCUAACAAGAAGAAUAAAAUAACCAUGAUUGCAGAGCCAUUGGAGAAAGGGCUUGCAGAAGACAUUGAGAAUGGUAUUGUAAGCAUUGAUUGGAACAGGAAAGCCCUUGGUGACUUCUUCAAGACGAAAUAUGACUGGGAUUUGCUUGCAGCACGGUCCAUAUGGGCCUUUGGUCCAGAUAAACAGGGACCUAACAUUUUAUUGGAUGACACACUUCCUACUGAAGUUGACAAAGGAUUGCUGGGUGCUGUCAAGGAUUCCAUUGUUCAAGGUUUUCAGUGGGGUGCACGAGAAGGACCACUGUGUGAUGAACCAAUCAGAAAUGUUAAGUUCAAAAUAGUUGAUGCUAGGAUUGCACCAGAGCCACUGCAUAGAGGAUCUGGUCAGAUUAUUCCCACUGCUCGACGUGUGGCCUAUUCAGCUUUUCUGAUGGCGACCCCAAGACUAAUGGAACCAGUAUACUAUGUGGAGAUACAAACACCAAUCGACUGUCUCUCUGCAAUAUAUACAGUGUUAUCUCGCAGGCGUGGACAUGUUACGGCAGAUGUUCCUCAGCCUGGGACUCCAGCUUAUAUUGUGAAGGCAUUUUUACCUGUAAUAGAGUCAUUUGGUUUUGAGACGGACCUGAGGUACCAUACCCAAGGGCAAGCGUUUUGCCUCUCAGUGUUUGAUCAUUGGGCUAUUGUACCUGGGGACCCUCUUGACAAGAGCAUAGUUCUGCGGCCACUUGAGCCCGCACCAAUCCAGCACCUUGCUCGUGAAUUUAUGGUGAAGACAAGGCGUCGCAAGGGAAUGAGCGAAGAUGUGAGCAUAAACAAGUUCUUUGAUGAGGCUAUGGUGGUGGAGCUGGCUCAGCAGGCAGCUGAUAUUCAUCAACAAAUGAUAUGAUGGCUCUCUUAUGGUUGAUAUGACCAUGUAAUGCAGCUCAAGGAUGCUGCAGGCAAUUUUCUCCUGAGUUGAUUCUAUCCAAACCUAGAUGUGACUUUCAAGAUAAAUCUUGUGUGUGGAUAUCCAGUCUUGAGCUGCUAAUUUAGAACACUGCUAAGUGCUACCAACUCCUCACCCUCGCUU